AACGAACGCUGGCGGCAUGCCUAACACAUGCAAGUCGAACGAGACCUUCGGGUCUAGUGGCGCACGGGUGCGUAACGCGUGGGAACCUGCCCUUAGGUUCGGAAUAACUCCCCGAAAGGGGUGCUAAUACCGGAUAAUGUCUUCGGACCAAAGAUUUAUCGCCUUUGGAUGGGCCCGCGUUGGAUUAGCUAGUUGGUAGGGUAAAAGCCUACCAAGGCGACGAUCCAUAGCUGGCCUGAGAGGAUGAUCAGCCACACUGGGACUGAGACACGGCCCAGACUCCUACGGGAGGCAGCAGUGGGGAAUAUUGGACAAUGGGCGAAAGCCUGAUCCAGCAAGGCCGCGUGAGUGAUGAAGGCCUUAGGGUUGUAAAGCUCUUUUACCCGGGAUGAUAAUGACAGUACCGGGAGAAUAAGCUCCGGCUAACUCCGU
rnacentral:rRNA from 1 species